rnacentral:rRNA from 1 species
AUGCAACGGCUAACCUUCGUCCACCGCGAAACGCCCACCGCCGUGCCGCACUCCGUCAGAUUCCCCAACCCCGAUCGACAAGGACGCGCCGCCGGGAAGAAUCCGACCAUGAGCGCCGCCGCGGCCAACGUCGCCGUCAUCGGAGCCGGAAUGACGGGCGCCGUGUGCGCCUCGCUCCUGGCCGCGCGCGGGGUGGCGGUGACGCUCUUCGACUCCGGCCGCGGCCCCGGCGGCCGCAUGGCGCAGCGGAGAGAGGUGAUGGACGACGGCACGGAGCUGCGGUUCGACCACGGCGCGCCCUACUUCACCGUCAGCAACGACGAGGUCGUCCGGGUCGUGGGCGGAUGGGAGGCGCGGGGCCUCGUCGCCGAGUGGAAGGCCAUGUUCGCCUGCUUCGAUCGGGAGACCGGCAAAUUCAGAGACUUCGAUAAGGAGGGAACCAUGAAGAAGUAUGUUGGAGUUCCUGGCAUGAACUCAAUAUGCAAAUCUCUGUGUCAAGAGGAUGGUGUGGUGUCCAAAUUUGGUGUCACUAUUGGAAAGAUGGAUUGGCUUCAAGAUAGGAGCUCAUGGUCGUUGGCUAGCUUGGAUGGCAAAGAUCUUGGCAGUUUUGAUUUUGUUGUAGCAACAGAUAAGAACAUAGCAUCACAAAAAGUUUCUGGGUUGACUGGAAAGCCACCACCUCUUGAUUUGUCAGUAUUUCCACAUUUGUCAGCCAUGAUUCAAGAUAUCCCAGUUCGCCCCUGUUUUGCUCUGAUGUUAGCGUUCUCAGAGCCUCUUGCUAUGGUACCUGUCCAAGGGUUCUCUUUCUACAAUUCCGAUUCUCUAAGCUGGGCCUUUUGCGAUAGUAGUAAGCCAGGACGUCAUGUACCUCCUAAUAGUCAAUCGUGGGUGUUGCGUUCAACCACCGAGUAUGCUUCUAAGGUAAUAGACAGUAUGGGUCCCCGGAAACCUUCAGCAGAUGCCCUUGCUAAGGUUGCAGAGGAAUUGUUCAGAGAAUUUCAGGCUACAGGACUGAACAUUCCACAGCCAAUCUUUAUGAAAGCUCAUAGAUGGGGUGGUGCUUUCCCAGCAAUUUCUAUCGGCGGUGAUGAUAAGUGUGUCUGGGAGAAGAACAUGAAAUUGGCUAUCUGUGGAGAUUUCUGCGCUAGUCCAAGUGUCGAAGGGGCUGUCCUUAGUGGCAUGAGUGGAGCUUCCAAAAUCCUUGGAUGUUUAAACUUACCAUCAGGGUUGUGA